CACCUGCACACCAACACCUGCACACCAACGUCCACACCAGCACCUGCACACCAAUAUCCACACCAACACCUGCACACCAAUGUCCACACCAACACCUGCACACCAACACCUACACACCAACGUCCACACCAGCACCUGCACACCAAUGUCUACACCAGCACCUGCACACCAAUGUCCACGCCAACACCUGCACACCAACAUCCACGCCAACACCUGCACACCAACGUCCACACCAACACCUGCACACCAACGUCCACACCAGCACCUGCACACCAAUGUCCACACCAACACCUGCACACCAAUGUCCACACCAGCACCCACACCAACACCUGCACACCAACGUCCACACCAGCACCCACACCAACACCUGCACACCAACGUCCACACCAGCACCCACACCAACACCUGCACACCAAUGUCCACACCAGCACCUGCACACCAACGUCCACACCAGCACCUGCACACCAAUGUCCACAGCAGCACGACUCCCAAUAGCCAGAGAGUAGGCCACAUGAGCGCCCAUCAGCAGGGGAGCAGGUCGCCCGGCACCACACACAGCAGAACGCGACUCAGCCAUGAAAUGGAGCAAGGCUCUGACGCAGGCCACAGAGUGGAUGAACUCUGAGGAUGGGCCACUCGGUGAGAGACUCCAGGCACAAAAGGCCACACAGUGCGCGAUCCCAUUUCUAUGAGAUGUCCAGGACAGGCCAGUCCACAGAGGGAGGAAGGAGAUGCCUGGUUUUGGGGUGUGGGGGGCAGGAUGGGGAGCAACUGCUGAGGGGGACAGAGCUUCCUCUGGGACAAUGAGAUGCUCCGGAAUGAGUGGUGAUGCUGCCC
rnacentral:lncRNA from 1 species